rnacentral:rRNA from 1 species
GGGCGGGGGCCCCGGGUGGACACAUUCAAACUCUUGCGUAACUUUGCAGUCUGAGUAAAUUUAAUUAAUAAAUUAAAACUUUCAACAACGGAUCUCUUGGUUCUGGCAUCGAUGAAGAACGCAGCGAAAUGCGAUAAGUAAUGUGAAUUGCAGAAUUCAGUGAAUCAUCGAAUCUUUGAACGCACAUUGCGCCCCCUGGUAUUCCGGGGGGCAUGCCUGUUCGAGCGUCAUUUCACCACUCAAGCCUCGCUUGGUAUUGGGCGACGCGGUCCGCCGCGCGCCUCAAAUCGACCGGCUGGGUCUUUCGUCCCCUCAGCGUUGUGGAAACUAUUCGCUAAAGGGUGCCACGGGAGGUCACGCCGUAAAACAAGCCCAUUUCUAAGGUUGACCUCGGAUCAGGUAGGGAUACCCGCUGAACUUAAGCAUAUC